AAAAGGUGGAAGCUUCAGGGUGUAGCAGGGCUGCAGCAGGAAGUCCUCCUUUACCUGCCUUUUGCUGCAGUGAGGAUCUCACCAACAAUCCCAGGUGGGGAUUAUACAUCUACGCUGAAUAUACUGAACGGGCUAUCUGCUCAGAAAACUAGUGGCAUUCAUUCACUGAAAGCAAUCCGCUAACAUUCUCAGACAAUGAACUGCUAGCGGGACCGGCAUAUAGCUUUUGGUUCUCUGUAGAAGCCGAAUGUACAUCAGUUGCCAUACAAGACCCUUGGUCCUGGUGGAGAUCCAGGCUGGUCAAUCACUCCUUCUACUAAAACAAACACAAGGAACUUGUUAAACAGCCAUCAUAGCACAGUAUGGAGAGCUGCAAUCUCCAAUACCCACAUAGAAAAAGACCCUGAUGUGAGAGGGCUCAUGGCAGCAGGCUGCAGUACCAGAGGUGGAUUUAGAAUGGUUUUAUGUGGCUGUCCAAAGGCACGGACAGAUCACUAUCUAUAGUCUUCAGAUUUCCAGCAUAGUCCCAGCAUGAACCAAGCACCACAAUUCUCCAGUCAGUGAAAUGAAGAUAUGCAAAAUAUCAGCCCACCUGCC